rnacentral:rRNA from 1 species
AGGAUGAACGCUAGCGACAGGCUAACACAUGCAAGUCGAGGGGCAGCACGGGAGUAGCAAUACAACUGGUGGCGACCGGCGCACGGGUGAGUAACGCGUAUGCAACCUACCUAUCAGAGGGGAAUAACCCGGCGAAAGUCGGACUAAUACCGCAUAAAACAGGGGCACCGCAUGGUGAUAUUUGUUAAAGAAAUUCGCUGAUAGAUGGGCAUGCGUUCCAUUAGGUAGUUGGUGAGGUAACGGCUCACCAAGCCGACGAUGGAUAGGGGAACUGAGAGGUUGGUCCCCCACACUGGUACUGAGACACGGACCAGACUCCUACGGGAGGCAGCAGUGAGGAAUAUUGGUCAAUGGGCGAGAGCCUGAACCAGCCAAGUCGCCGUGAAGGAAGAAGGAUCUAUGGUUCGUAAACUUCUUUUGCAGGGGAAUAAAGUGCGGGACGUGUCCUGUUUUGUAUGUACCCUGAGAAUAAGGAUCGGCUAACUCCGUGCCAGCCGCGGC